UCCACCUCCACGUCCUAAGCGGAAGCCAAGCAAUCCGUACCCCCGUAAAACAGGUGCCAGUUCGGUCACAUCUCAGGCAGGAGCUAAGGAAGAUGGAAAGCUUUCAACUUCGCUUCCCUUUCCUCCGAGCAAAGUAUUGGACUUGGAGAAAGAACCACUUCCUGAGGUGAGUUAUUGUUUCAUUCCUUUCAAAUCUCUUGUUCUUCAUUCAAUGAUAUAUUUUCUUCAACUCAUUCGUUAUCCAGAAACCUAGUGGUGAUGAGAAGUCCACAGGUGCCAAAGAAAACCAUGAUGAAAGUUGCUCAG
rnacentral:lncRNA from 1 species